rfam:Salmo salar isolate Sally breed double haploid chromosome ssa01, whole genome shotgun sequence.
UGGCUCAGUUGGUAGAGCAUGGUGUGUGCAACGCCAGGGUUGUGGGUUCGAUUCCCAC